AUUGAACGCUGGCGACAGGCCUAACACAUGCAAGUCGAACGAGUGGCGGACGGGUGAGUAAUCUCCGGGACAACGCCUGAUGGGGGGGGAUAGCUACCCGUAACGAUAGCUAAUAACGCAUACCAUCAGAUGUGCCCAUAUGGGUGUAGCUUGUUGGUGGGGUAACGGCUCACCAAGGCGACGAUCCCUAGCUGGUCUGAGAGUAUGACCAGCCACACUGGAACUGAGACACGGUCCAGAAUCCUACGUGAGGCAGCAGUGGGAAUUAUUUCACAAUGGGCGCAAGCCCGAUGCCGCCAUUCCGCGUGUCUGAAGAAGGGUUUGGGGUGUUAAAGAGCUUUCAGCUUUGAGGCGUUACCUUCAGAAGAAGCGCCGGCUAACUCCGUGCCAGCAGCCGCGGUAAUAC
rnacentral:rRNA from 1 species